rnacentral:lncRNA from 1 species
UCAAACGACAAGCAUCAAGAUUCAAAAAUAAAGCCUAAUCUAAACAUCAAACAACAUAUCUUGGAUGAUUUUUCACAAGCUUGGUGGUCUUAACUCGCUCAACAACAUAAGACAAAACAUAAGACACACACUGUUUUUUCACAAGCAAUGUAAACAAGUAGAAAACAAGACAAGACACACACAUGCAAUCAAACCAAUUUACUUGUAUUAACUUCGAAUCGAAUUCACCCGCCAAGCUUAUGAACCGUCAUCCUUUAUUUCUUACGAUGAUUUUUCACAAGCUUGGCAGGCAUCCGUGCAGGUGUCACAGGUCCUCCUGAAAGGCUGCUCUCUCCCCUAGCGGCUUGAAUUCGCAACACUAGUCAACACACGUAAACAAUAUGAGACAGAACACAAGUCAUGUCUUAAUUUCGCAGUAGAUGUUGCCGUAUAGCUUAUGAACAAUCACCCUUCAUUCCUUAGAAUGAUUUUUCAUCACCUAUGCACCCAAAAUCCACUAAACCAUUCAGCACAAGACAAUAAGACACAGUCACAAUUUCAAACAACAAGUAACUAAAUAUCAAGCUAACUGAGACACAGACAAUUGCAACUAAACAUCAUACUAACCUGAAAAUGAAGAGUUUUGUACUUGUUCAGUGAAGAGGAGAAGAAGAUGAACCAGUCCGCCUCCUUCUUCACCAUCACUCCAUCACCUCGAGACAGAACACAAACAAAGACAACACGACAAACAUCAACAUAUCAGAGACCGAACACAACAAGCAUCAACAUAUCAGAGACAAAACAUUUGAUAUUAAUCCAGAGUCUUAACACUUAAACAAUAUCAGAGACAAACAAAUUAGUUCAUGAUAUUUCCGUUCAAGCAAUCGCAAUAAGCUUAUCUUAAUAAGGAAAAAAAACAACACACAUGCAAAAGCAUAAAAUCGCUAAACUAGAUAAGUACCUCCAGAUCUUGUUGGUCUUAUUACAAGGAUCGAACAGAUCUCUUUACUUAUUCAGCUAACAACCUCAAAAAUAUAUAAUAGUUAGAGCAGAGAUUUUAAGUCUAAAUAAACUUCAAAUUUUUGUCUGGAAUACAUAACUCUGUACAUGCAUGUCCGAUCUGUGAAGUUUAGAAGCUCAUGAGGAAGAAUAGAAGACACAUCGAAGAAGAAAAAUCGACUAUAUUGGAUCUUUGUUGGUUUAGCUCCUCUGCUGCAGCUCGAAGACGAAGUGGUGACCAGAAGCACUGUCGCCUGUCAGACAUCAAACCGCCGUCGUCGGAGCUCCAUUUUUUUCCACGGUGGAAAUCGCAUCCACAUUGCCUUUCAC